UCCGGUUUAACACCGGCAGUCCCUCUAGAGUUCCCAACUUAAUGGUGGCAACUAAAGGCAAGGGUUGCGCUCGUUAUUGGACUUAACCAAACAUCUUACGACACGAGCUGACGACAGCCAUGCAGCAUCUGUGUGCAAGUCUCCGAAGAGACGUUUACAUUUCUGCAAACUUCCUGCCAUGUCAAGGUUAGGUAAGGUUCUGCGCGUUGCUUCGAAUUAAACCACAUACUCCACCGCUUGUGCGGGCCCCCGUCAAUUCCUUUGAGUUUUAGCCUUGCGACCGUACUUCCCAGGCGGGAUAUUUAACGCGUUAGCUUUAGUACUCAAGGGGUUAAUUCCUCAAACACCUAAUAUCCAUCGUUUACCGCGUGGACUAC
rnacentral:misc_RNA from 1 species